rnacentral:lncRNA from 1 species
UUCCCAAGACCCAAACAACGCCUUCACUAUUCACUAUCUUCCUCACCCAAAAUCCGUUCCCAAACCCGCCAAAUUUCAGACGAGUGAGCCCAAACUCACUUCACGCACCCCUUAUCUCACCACGUCACCAAAGAUUCUAACGGUUUCUGAUAAUUAUUUCACCCCAUGUGCUGGACUCGUUGGAAUUUCAGAGGAAUAAAUUCCGAAAAAUGGGAGUCGUGGAUUGAUUUGAGGAUCAAUUCUCUCCUUCCAUCUGUCAGGAUUUGUUCUGAAAAAGAUUUUUCGGUUUUUGUUUGCGUGAAGAAGGGAAUAGAGGCUUUGAUUUUUAAAAGUUUUAUAUAUAAGGUAAGUUUUUUUUUUAAGAGUGGGGAGAAAAAAUUUCGGGUAAAAAUUUCUAGGGUCCUUGAGCUCUUUUUGGGAUUCCUUCAAGUUUUUCGGCCUUUUUUCAGAAAACACACAAAAAGCAAAAAUAGUUUGAGUUCGAUUUCAUUCAAGUUUUACUUCAUUUAAAAAAAAUCAACAAAAACUCACCAAAAAUAGAAUUUCUUUUUCAGCAUUUUUUCUUUCUCUUGAUUUCUGUUUCUCAAAAAAUGGAGUUUGAUUAAAGUUUGAGUUGGAGUUUGUGUUUUAAGUUCUAAAUCUCGGUGCCAUUUCAAAUUUCUGUAUAAGCUUCUAAUUUCUACUUGAUUUUGUUAUGGUUGUGCUGAUAUUAGCCAUUGGAUUUCGCUUGUAUUCAACAUUCGAGCAAAGUUAAUCGGAAGUGUUUACUGAUUCAGGUUCAUUUCUAAUCUCAUGUAGCCUAUCUUUGGUGUUUAUUUAAAAAAUGUAUUGAGAGCUUGAGUCCAGUUGGUUUAGAACUGUUUAAAUCUUGGUGACUGUUGGUCGUAAUGUGUUUGUUUGCCAUUUUCACAAGUAUUUCUGGUUUGGUUUGCUGUGUAUAUUUUAAAAUGAGUUCUCUGAAAUUGUUAUUUGGUGUUCUCUGUCCGUCAUUGGUUUGGUUAGUUUCGUUUAGUUUCUAAAAACUGUACGAAUCUUCGAAUCUUAAUCGAGUCAAUCCCAGUGGUUUGUGUGUGCUUAAUUCGUCAUUCGAUCAUGAUCUAUCUGAUGUCGCAAUUUGAUUUGGACCUGCAUAAUCCCCUGCCCUGUUUUACCUCCAUGACUGGAUGACAAUCACUCCCUUUUUUUUUGGAUUGAAUCUGCCAAUUAGCAAGUUUAGAUUAGUGUGGUUCUAUUUUCUGCUUUUCGAGUCCAAGCCGUAAAUUUACAAAACAAUUGCUGGCUGUUUUCUUGUGUUAAAAGACUGAGAAUGAAUGUGAAUAUUAUCCAUCCGACAUCAUGUCCAUGUGUUUGUUAUGCUCUGCUUUAAGAUUAUAAUGCAAUUUGAAGGAUUAUUUCAUGAAUUUUCUGCUGAAACUUUAUUCGUGUGUGUUUACGAGUUCAAGCUAGGAUUUACUUUAAAAAAUUGAAAUCUGGUAUUGUUGAAUCCAGUGACUUAAGCCUACUGCUUAUGUAUUUUAACCCCUUCCCCCCUCUCUGGUUGUGAGCAGUUGAAUAGAGCAUCUAUUUGAUGCACUUGUUGGAUGCCAAAUAAUACUUUUUCCUUACUGAUCAUUUUCCAUGAGUCCAAGCUGAUCAUGUUCUAUUCAUAUUGUGCUUUAGUUGCAACAAAUUUCUUUGGUACUUGAGAAUAGCUGGAAUGCAUUCUGUCAGUAAUGUUAAGGCCCAGGCUUUGG